rnacentral:rRNA from 1 species
UACGUAGGGUGCAAGCGUUAAUCGGAAUUACUGGGCGUAAAGCGCGCGCAGGCGGUUUCUUAAGUCUGAUGUGAAAGCCCACGGCUCAACCGUGGAGGGUCAUUGGAAACUGGGGAACUUGAGUGCAGAAGAGAAAAGCGGAAUUCCACGUGUAGCGGUGAAAUGCGUAGAGAUGUGGAGGAACACCAGUGGCGAAGGCGGCUUUUUGGUCUGUAACUGACGCUGAGGCGCGAAAGCGUGGGGAGCAAACAGG